rnacentral:rRNA from 1 species
UCAGUCGACUCCUACGGGGAGGCAGCAGUGGGGGAAUAGUUGCACAAUGGGCGCAAGCCUGAUGCAGCCAUGCCGCGUGUAUGAAGAAGCCUUCGGGUUGUAAGUACUUUCAGCAGUGAGGAAGGUGGGUAUGUUAAUAGCAUAUUCAUUUGACGUUAGCUGCAGAAGAAGCACCGGCUAACUCCGUGCCAGCAGCCGCGGUAAUACGGAGGGUGCGAGCGUUAAUCGGAAUUACUGGGCGUAAAGCGCAUGCAGGUGGUUUGUUAAGUCAGAUGUGAAAGACCCGGGGCUCAACCUCGGAAUUGCAUUUGAAACUGGCAAACUAGAGUACUGUAGAGGGGGGUAGGAAUUUCAGGUGUAGCGGUGAAAUGCGUAGAGAUCUGAAGGAAUGCCGGUGGCGAAGGCGGCCCCCUCGGACAGAUACUGACACUCAGAUGCGAAAGCGUGGGGAGCAAACAGGAUUAGAUACCCUGGUAG